GAAAAAAGGAAAUCAACCAGAGAAACAAAGACCAAAGAUUUGGCAAAGACACAAAAAAUGACUUCAAAAACAAUCGAUAAUAAACUCUCUUGUUUCUUCUCUUCUCAUAUGGUAUCAGAGCCUCCACGAUUUUGGUGGAGAUCUAAACAGAUUUUGCAUCCAGGAGAGUGGCCUUACGCUGCCCAUCUGACCAAUGCUUUAAUUCCCUUCAAGUUUUACUAUUCUGGUAUAUUUCCAAUUACCAUUCCAGCAGCACACCUUUUUCCGAUGUCUA
rnacentral:misc_RNA from 1 species